rnacentral:rRNA from 1 species
CUUCCAGGAAAAGCCUCUAAGCUUCAGAUAGUCAGGAAUCGUACCCCAAACCGACACAGGUGGUCGGGUAGAGAAUACCAAGGCGCUUGAGAGAACUCGGGUGAAGGAACUAGGCAAAAUGGUACCGUAACUUCGGGAGAAGGUACGCUCUUGAUGGUGAAGUCCCUCGCGGAUGGAGCUGACGAGAGUCGCAGAUACCAGGUGGCUGCAACUGUUUAUUAAAAACACAGCACUGUGCAAAAUCGCAAGAUGACGUAUACGGUGUGACGCCUGCCCGGUGCCGGAAGGUUAAUUGAUGGGGUUAGCGCAAGCGAAGCUCUUGAUCGAAGCCCCGGUAAACGGCGGCCGUAACUAUAACGGUCCUAAGGUAGCGAAAUUCCUUGUCGGGUAAGUUCCGACCUGCACGAAUGGCGUAAUGAUGGCCACGCUGUCUCCACCCGAGACUCAGUGAAAUUGAAAUCGCUGUGAAGAUGCAGUGUACCCGCGGCUAGACGGAAAGACCCCGUGAACCUUUACUACAGCUUGGCACUGAACAUUGAACCUACAUGUGUAGGAUAGGUGGGAGGCUAUGAAGACGUGACGCCAGUUGCGUUGGAGCCGUCCUUGAAAUACCACCCUUGUAUGUUUGAUGUUCUAACUUAGACCCGUUAUCCGGGUUGAGGACAGUGCCUGGUGGGUAGUUUGACUGGGGCGGUCUCCUCCCAAAGAGUAACGGAGGAGCACGAAGGUGGGCUAAUCACGGUUGGACAUCGUGAGGUUAGUGCAAUGGCAUAAGCCCGCUUAACUGCGAGAAUGACGGUUCGAGCAGGUGCGAAAGCAGGUCAUAGUGAUCCGGUGGUUCUGUAUGGAAGGGCCAUCGCUCAACGGAUAAAAGGUACUCCGGGGAUAACAGGCUGAUACCGCCCAAGAGUUCAUAUCGACGGCGGUGUUUGGCACCUCGAUGUCGGCUCAUCACAUCCUGGGGCUGAAGUCGGUCCCAAGGGUAUGGCUGUUCGCCAUUUAAAGUGGUACGCGAGCUGGGUUUAGAACGUCGUGAGACAGUUCGGUCCCUAUCUGCCGUGGGCGUUGGAAGAUUGAAGGGGGCUGCUCCUAGUACGAGAGGACCGGAGUGGACGAACCUCUGGUGUUCGGGUUGUGUCGCCAGACGCAUUGCCCGGUAGCUAAGUUCGGAAUUGAUAAGCGCUGAAAGCAUCUAAGCGCGAAGCGAGCCCUGAGAUGAGUCUU